GAUGAAGACGCAGCGAAAUGCGAUACGUAAUGUGAAUUGCAGAAUUCAGUGAAUCAUCGAAUCUUUGAACGCAUAUUGCGCUCUCUGGUAUUCCGGAGAGCAUGCUUGUUUGAGUAUCAGUAAACACCUCAACUUCCAUAUCUUUUUUGAAAUGGGAGUUGGACUUGAGUGAUCCCAACGCUUUUCCUCACCGAAAAGUGGCGGGUUACUUGAAAUGCAGGUGCAGCUGGACUUUUCUCUGAGCUAUAAGCAUAUCUAUUUAGUCUGCCUAAAAAACAGAUUAUUACCUUUGCUGCAGCUAACAUAAAGGAGAUUAGUUCUUGUGCUGACUGAUGCAGGAUUCACAAAGACGGCUUCGGCCGACUUUGUAAACUCGAUCUCAAAUCAAGUAAGACUACCCGCUGAACUUAAGCAUAUCAAUAAGCGGAGGA
rnacentral:misc_RNA from 1 species